rnacentral:rRNA from 1 species
CACGUAGGGCGCGAGCGUUGUCCGGAAUUAUUGGGCGUAAAGAGCUCGUAGGCGGCCUGUUGCGUCCGCUGUGAAAGCCCGGGGCUUAACCCCGGGUCGGCAGUGGAUACGGGCAGGCUAGAGGUAGGUAGGGGAGAAUGGAAUUCCCGGUGUAGCGGUGAAAUGCGCAGAUAUCGGGAGGAACACCGGUGGCGAAGGCGGCAUCCUGGACCAAUUCUGACGCUGAGGAGCGAAAGCCAGGGGAGCAAACGGG